CGCCAAGUCCUCGGUGCCCCUUGCCAUUUUCCAGCCGCGCUCCCACGAGGGUCACGGCGGCGGGGAGAGGUGGAGCCGCGAGAGCUCGGCCGGGGGCCCCGCCUGGUGGUCGCGGCCAUGACAGCGGCUCGGGACAGGCUCCUUUUCCGCGCCCCUCCCGCCGGAGGUGAGGGGAAGAUGUCCAUGUCCGGGUUCAAGGCCAAACCGAAGUUACUGGCUUCUAUCUUCCAGGAGAACCAGGAGCCACAGCCGCGGCUCACGCCCCACCGCAACAUUAAGAUUACAAGUGGACACCUGAGUCAGCAGGACCUGGAAUCCCAGAUGAGAGAGCUUAUCUACACGACUCAGAUCUUGUUGUCACCCCCAUUAUUGACAAUCCAAAGGUGCAGAAAGCACUCUGACAAAUAAUGAAACAACCACCAUCGGUUAAAUUUGAUGCAAAAAUAUUGCAUCUACCAGCAUUUUCAGUUAUAAUUUCUGAAAGACCAAGAUUGGAAUGACUUUUUGUAACAAGUGUGCUCGCAGAUCGACUCCAGUGAGAAGAGCUCGGGGACCUCCUGAGCCAAGCUUAAUCUCCUUUGCUGUUUGUGAGUGGUGGCUGGUCACCAGGAGGUGGCCACCAGGCUCCUCCUUU
ensembl:lncRNA ULK4P2 ULK4 pseudogene 2